GACGAACGCUGGCGGCGUGCCUAAUACAUGCAAGUAGAACGCACAGUUUAUACCGUAGCUUGCUACACCAUAGACUGUGAGUUGCGAAUGGGUGAGUAACGCGUAGGUAACCUGCCUGGUAGCGGGGGAUAACUAUUGGAAACGAUAGCUAAUACCGCAUAAUAUUAAUUAUUGCAUGAUAAUUGAUUGAAAGGUGCAAAUGCAUCACUACCAGAUGGACCUGCGUUGUAUUAGCUAGUAGGUGAGGUAACGGCUCACCUAGGCGACGAUACAUAGCCGACCUGAGAGGGUGAUCGGCCACACUGGGACUGAGACACGGCCCAGACUCCUACGGGAGGCAGCAGUAGGGAAUCUUCGGCAAUGGACGAAAGUCUGACCGAGCAACGCCGCGUGAGUGAAGAAGGUUUUCGGAUCGUAAAGCUCUGUUGUAAGAGAAGAACGGGUGUGAGAGUGGAAAGUUCACACUGUGACGGUAUCUUACCAGAAAGGGACGGCUAACUACGUGCCAGCAGCCGCGGUAAUACGUAGGUCCCGAGCGUUGUCCGGAUUUAUUGGGCGUAAAGCGAGCGCAGGCGGUUAGAUAAGUCUGAAGUUAAAGGCUGUGGCUUAACCAUAGUACGCUUUGGAAACUGUUUAACUUGAGUGCAGAAGGGGAGAGUGGAAUUCCAUGUGUAGCGGUGAAAUGCGUAGAUAUAUGGAGGAACACCGGUGGCGAAAGCGGCUCUCUGGUCUGUAACUGACGCUGAGGCUCGAAAGCGUGGGGAGCGAACAGG
rnacentral:rRNA from 1 species